UUUUUCUGUUUGGAAGCCUGUAACAUUUGUGGAACUCAAGCUUGCAAGUUCUUUUUAGGCAGUAAUGGCUAGUGACUUUGCUAUUGCCCAAUUCCGAUUUUUGGAGCGGCUUCUGGUAGUCCAUGGACACUGGUGUUACAAGAGAAUUGCACAAAUGAUAUGCUUCGAGAGUUAAGCCAACUGAUCCUCAUUUUAAAUGGCUUUGUUGAAACCACCUUGUGAAUUCUAGCAUAAUAGCGGGGCAUUCCAUCAUCAUCAUCGUAAGCAGCCCAGACCUGGUCCUCUGCAAAGGCAUUUUCAGUUCUAUCCAAGUCAAAAUUGUGAAAAUCAAGGUCUGGAACGUUCAUUGUUACAUAGGCCGACUUCUCCUUUACAGUAAAGUAUCAUACGUGAACAUUAUAAGAAUUAUGAACUUGCAGGGCAUCAUAAUAUUAAAAAAA